rnacentral:sRNA from 1 species
UCACAAAGAUACGAUUAAAAAUACCGAU